UACGUAGGGUGCGAGCGUUAAUCGGAAUUACUGGGCGUAAAGUGUGCGCAGGCGGCCAUGCAAGUCGAGUGUGAAAGCCCCGGGCUUAACUUGGGAAUUGCGCUCGAAACUACGUGGCUGGAGUGUGGCAGAGGAAGGUGGAAUUCCACGUGUAGCGGUGAAAUGCGUAGAGAUGUGGAGGAACACCAAUGGCGAAGGCAGCCUUCUGGGACGGUACUGACGCUGAGACGCGAAAGCGUGGGGAGCGAACAGG
rnacentral:rRNA from 1 species